rnacentral:rRNA from 1 species
GAUGAACGCUGGCGGCGUGCUUAACACAUGCAAGUCGAACGAAGCACCUUAUUCUGAUUUCCUCGGAAUGAAAAAUUUGGUGACUGAGUGGCGGACGGGUGAGUAACGCGUGGGUAACCUGCCUCAUACAGGGGGAUAACAGUUAGAAAUGACUGCUAAUACCGCAUAAGACCACAGCACCGCAUGGUGCAGGGGUAAAAACUCCGGUGGUAUGAGAUGGACCCGCGUCUGACUAGGUAGUUGGUGGGGUAACGGCCUACCAAGCCGACGAUCAGUAGCCGACCUGAGAGGGUGACCGGCCACAUUGGGACUGAGACACGGCCCAAACUCCUACGGGAGGCAGCAGUGGGGAAUAUUGCACAAUGGGGGAAACCCUGAUGCAGCGACGCCGCGUGAGCGAUGAAGUACUUCGCUAUGUAAAGCUCUAUCAGCAGGGAAGAAAAUGACGGUACCUGACUAAGAAGCACCGGCUAAAUACGUGCCAGCCGCCGCGGUAA